AUAUUACUAAGCGGAGGAAAAGAAAUCAACGAAGAUUGCCUCAGUAGCGGCGAGUGAAGCGGCAAUAGCUCAAGUUUAGAAUCUGUGAUCGUCUCGGUCACCGAAUUGUAAUCUAAAGGGGCUAACAAAAGGGGAAGUGGAGGCAUAAGUUCCUUGGAAAAGGGCGUCAAAGAGGGUGAAAACCCCGUAUGUAGCCUCCGCCGAACCGAAUGUUAACCUUCUGAGAGUCGGGUUGUUUGGGAUUGCAGCCCUAAAUGGGAGAUAAACUUCUUCUAAGGCUAAAUAUGUAUGGGAGACCGAUAGCGCACAAGUA
rnacentral:rRNA from 1 species